rnacentral:rRNA from 1 species
UACGUAGGGUCCGAGCGUUGCCCGGAAUUAUUGGGCGUAAAGGGCUCGUAGGCGGUCUGUUGCGUCGGGAGUGAAAACUUACAGCUUAACUGUGAGCGUGCUUUCGAUACGGGCAGACUUGAGGCAUUCAGGGGAGAACGGAAUUCCUGGUGUAGCGGUGAAAUGCGCAGAUAUCAGGAGGAACACCGGUGGCGAAGGCGGUUCUCUGGGAAUGUCCUGACGCUGAGGAGCGAAAGUGUGGGGAGCGAACAGG